ensembl:lncRNA
GGGAUAGGCUCGGAGCGCAGCUGGCCGCGAGCCAGCCCGGCCGUCCCGCUCGCCCUGCGGCACGCUUUGCGCUGAGGGCGAUAGAGUGCGAGGAGGUAAAGAUCAAAGCUUUCCCAACAGAGUCGCAAGUUGAAAAUGGACUAAAAAUGGCGACGAGAAAUUUGCUGUAAAGAAUCAGCUGUAAAGUGAGUUUUCCCACUCGGCAGUUCCAGCUCCGAUGUCAGUCGAUGCUUUCUAAUACAGCACCCAUUUUAUGUAAAACUCUGCUUUUUCUGUUAUUCGUGGAGGACUCCUGUGAUGCUUCCAUCCACCCAAUAACGUGCCUCUGUAAAGGAAAGACUUCUGCUUGUUCAAUGCUUUGUUUUAUUCACCGAAGUUACAAUGAUUGUAUACUUUGUAGAGAAAAAGCAGUGAAAUUUAAAGCGAGUAUGCAGAUCCCAGCAUUGUUGUUGGAAGUGAUUAAUGGCUAGUAAAAAUUUAAGGUGAAUACCUCUUUAUUUUUGCUAAUGAAGCUGACGUGCCACGCAGUGCUGCAUGGUAACAUUUCCGUGAGGGAUCCCUUAAACUUUUGAAACGCUUCACACGUGGGAAGGGUAAUUUUCAUUCACUCGUGCAUUCAUUCUACUCAAAAAACAGCUAAAAAAAUGUGGGUACGUAUCACCCUGUUGUAUGUUUGUCAUACCCAAACUCGCCUAGCUGUUAGACCCUGUAGGUUUCUUUUAAGAGAAUUGGCUUUUCUCCUCGUGUUGAGAUUAACAAUGAAAUUAUUCAGUCUUACCCCCUGAAUUAUAUUCCUCUCUAAUUAUUUUAAUCUCUUAUAUAUCACUAUAAGAAGGACAGGCUUCUUUUUUCAAACAGAAAAUUGGCCUUCUGUGUCGUGUCAGCGCUUAUUAAAUACUACAAUCAUAAGAACACAUAUGCUACAAGAUUUUACGUUCUGAUUCCGUAGCUGUUACGGGCUUAGCGGCUGCAGUAUUUAUUUAGUGGUAAUGCAUUGCUUUUUCCUAUUUUGCAUUUCAAAGCUCUCCCUUAAACGACUGUUUUACAGAACUAUCCAGAGGUUAUCUAAAUUUCCCCAUCAAAUAUUACGCAGCACCAUAAGCUGGGAGUCGUGGAGUUUCUUUCCUUUCAUUUACACUCUCUUUAUAGAAAGAACUGAUCAGAAAAGCCACAAAAAAUACAACAAAUCCUUUAGGAAACGGUUCGGUGUAUUCGGUUUGACUGAAUUUGGACCAUAGCAAAGUUUCAAGCUGGUGUUAAACGCUCUCAGAGUACAACGUUUUUAUUUGAACGCUAUGCAGUGUGCUUCUCAUGGAUAUAUUCUCGGUUCCUCGGCGCGGCUUUAAUCACGUUGUUGCAAAGCAAUUAAUUUUUUUGUUGCUGUAGUGAUGCAUUUUUAUAAAGCCAGAAAUUGGGUUUCAGAAUCACCAACGUCAAAAAAGCCAAAGCCCCAAACCCGGCGCUGCCGGGAGCCGCACGCGUUGCUGUUCAAAGAGGAAGCUGCAGGAAAACCGUCUCAAUUAAUUAAUAAAGAAAUAGGAAAGCAAAAGCAAUGAUAAAAAUGUACGACUGUUUGUUGCAAUACAAGCGUUACUGUACGCGUACAUUCGUCCAGCAAAUUAAAAUACACUUAAUAUGUUUUCCUUUCAAAAGGAUAUUUGUUUUAAUUUACCUGUCAGGGAAUAAAGGACAGAUUUGCUGCUGUACCGUGAUUUUUUUCUCCUUGUCAGGGUUAACAGAAUCAUUGGGAAUGCUUUUUAAAUUAGAUGUCAUUUUCUUGACACGAACGAGGAAGGGCCAGGAGGGUGUAUCUACCUUCAGAUCAUUUGCCUUUUUUAGCAGUGGGGUCUGUUGGGUGCUUUAUUUCCUCACGCAGUAAUUGCUCACACCUGCAAUUUUCAGCGUACUUUUUUACAAGCCUUAAAAGUAAUAAAAAUAGCGUUGUGUGUUUUCUCCUACAAAUAGUUCCGAGUUCAGACGUGUGUUCUUCCCCGCUAAGACGGGGCGGUUUCGUGCGGGGCGGCUUUUUUUUGGGAGCACUGCCUGCAUUAUUUUACGCAAACCGAAACAUUCCACAUCCCGACACCCUCCCCCCGUUUGUUUUUUUGUUUCGUGUGUGCAAAACGUCUAACCUCGGGGAUACGGCAGCGUGCAUUUACAUUUACA